AGCAGAUUGAAGCACCGAAGCGCGUCAAGGAUGUGCGAAGGCUUGCCGGUUGCGUGGCUACGCUCAGUAGGUUUACCUCUAAGUCUGCUGAGUGCGCCCUGCCGUUUUUCAAAAUAUUGAAAAAGGCAGGUCCAAUGAAAUGGACUCCGGAAGCGGAGGCUGCGCUGCAGGACUUGAAGAGGUACCUGUCCUCCACUCCAAUACUUGUCGCACCUAAGCCACAAGAGAAGUUGCUGCUGUACCUAGCGGCAACCAAU
rnacentral:rRNA from 1 species